rnacentral:rRNA from 1 species
CCCAGUAAACGGCGGCCGUAACUAUAACGGUCCUAAGGUAGCGAAAUUCCUUGUCGGGUAAGUUCCGACCUGCACGAAUGGCAUAACGAUGGCCACACUGUCUCCUCCCGAGACUCAGUGAAGUUGAAAUGUUUGUGAUGAUGCAAUCUACCCGCGGCUAGACGGAAAGACCCCAUGAACCUUUACUGCAGCUUUGCAUUGAACUGUGAACCGAUUUGUGUAGGAUAGGUGGGAGGCAGAGAAGAGGCCACGCCAGUGGUCUUGGAGCCGACCUUGAAAUACCACCCUGAUUUGUUUGCGGUUCUAACCACGGACAGUGAUCCUGUCUUGGGACCGUGCAUGGUAGGCAGUUUGACUGGGGCGGUCUCCUCCUAAAGGGUAACGGAGGAGUACGAAGGUACGCUAGGUACGGUCGGAAAUCGUGCUGAUAGUGCAAUGGCAAAAGCGUGCUUGACUGCGAGAGCAACAACUCGAGCAGAUGCGAAAGCAGGUCAUAGUGAUCCGGUGGCUCUGAAUGGAAGGGCCAUCGCUCAACGGAUAAAAGGUACUCUGGGGAUAACAGGCUGAUACCGCCCAAGAGUUCAUAUCGACGGCGGUGUUUGGCACCUCGAUGUCGGCUCAUCUCAUCCUGGGGCUGUAGUCGGUCCCAAGGGUAUGGCUGUUCGCCAUUUAAAGAGGUACGUGAGCUGGGUUUAAAACGUCGUGAGACAGUUUGGUCCCUAUCUGCCGUGGGCGUUGGAAGAUUGACGGGGGCUGCUCCUAGUACGAGAGGACCGGAGUGGACGCACCUCUGGUGUACCGGUUGUCACGCCAGUGGCAUUGCCGGGUAGCUAAGUGCGGAAGAGAUAACCGCUGAAAGCAUCUAAGCGGGAAACUUGCCUGAAGAUGAGUCUUCCCGGAGGUUGAACCUCCCUCAAGAGUCGUCCGAGACCAGGACGUCGAUAGGUCAGGUGUGUAAGCGCUGUAAGGCGUUGAGCUAACUGAUACUAAUUGCUCGUGAGGCUUGAUCCU